rnacentral:rRNA from 1 species
UACGUAGGCAGCAAGCGUUGUUCGGAGUUACUGGGCGUAAAGGGUGCGUAGGCGGUUGUUUAAGUUUGGUGUGAAAUCUCCCGGCUCAACUGGGAGGGUGCGCCGAAUACUGAAUGACUAGAGUGCGGGAGAGGAGAGUGGAAUUCCUGGUGUAGCGGUGAAAUGCGUAGAUAUCAGGAGGAACACCGGUGGUGUAGACGGCUCGUCUGGACCGUAACUGACGCUGAGGCACGAAAGCGUGGGUAGCAAACAGG